rnacentral:rRNA from 1 species
GACGAACGCUGGCGGCGUGCUUAACACAUGCCAGUCGAACGGUGAAGCGCCUUCCUUUUUGGUGGGUGUGGAUGAGUGGCGAACGGGUGAGUAACACGUGAGUAACCUGCCCCCUUCUUCUGGAUAACCGCAUGAAAGUGUGGCUAAUACGGGAUAUUCUGGGUCUGUCGCAUGAUGGGUCUGGGAAAGAUAUUGUUUCGGUGGGGGAUGGGCUCGCGGCCUAUCAGCUUGUUGGUGGGGUGAUGGCCUACCAAGGCGGUGACGGGUAGCCGGCCUGAGAGGGUGGACGGUCACAAUGGGACUGAGACACGGCCCAGACUCCUACGGGAGGCAGCAGUGGGGAAUAUUGCACAAUGGGCGCAAGCCUGAUGCAGCGACGCCGCGUGAGGGAUGGAGGCCUUCGGGUUGUGAACCUCUUUCGCCAGUGAAGCAGGCCUGCCUCGUUUGUGGGUGGGUUGACGGUAGCUGGAGAAGAAGCGCCGGCUAACUACGUG